ACUAGUGUGGUAUAGUGGUUUGAGUGUCAGACUAUGACUCUGGAGAGCAGGUUCAAAUCCUGGCUCAGCC